AUUUAAAUAGUUUAUUUAAAACGCUGGUCUGUGGAUCCAGAGAUAUAACUCAAGUUAUUUUAGAUC
rnacentral:tRNA from 1 species